GGUAGUGUGGCCGAGAGUAGGCAGUGGGCUGUAGAUCCACGCACAGGGACCCAACCCUCAUUACCA
rnacentral:tRNA from 1 species